UACGUAGGGUGCGAGCGUGUCCGGAAUUAUUGGGCGUAAAGAGCUCGUAGGCGGUCUGUCGCGUCGGUCGUGAAAACCUGCAGCUUAACUGUGGGCGUGCGGUCGAUACGGGCAUGACUGGAGUUCGGCAGGGGAGACUGGAAUUCCUGGUGUAGCGGUGAAAUGCGCAGAUAUCAGGAGGAACACCGGUGGCGAAGGCGGGUCUCUGGGCCGAACUGACUCUGAGGAGCGAAAGCGUGGGGGAGCGAACAGG
rnacentral:rRNA from 1 species